rnacentral:misc_RNA from 1 species
UCCGAGUUGACCCCGGCAGUAUCCCAUGAGUUCCCACCAUUACGUGCUGGCAACAUAGAACGAGGGUUGCGCUCGUUGCGGGACUUAACCCAACAUCUCACGACACGAGCUGACGACAGCCAUGCACCACCUGUAUACCGACCACAAGGGGGGCCGUAUCUCUACGGCUUUCCGGUAUAUGUCAAACCCAGGUAAGGUGGGGAUGACGUUACACGCAAUAACA